GGAGGAAGCCACGGCUAACUACGUGCCAGCAGCCGCGGUAAUACGUAGGUGGCGAGCGUUGUCCGGAUUUACUGGGCGUAAAGGGUGCGUAGGCGGAUGUUUAAGUGAGAUGUGAAAUACCCGGGCUUAACUUGGGUGCUGCAUUUCAAACUGGAUAUCUAGAGUGCAGGAGAGGAGAAUGGAAUUCCUAGUGUAGCGGUGAAAUGCGUAGAGAUUAGGAAGAACACCAGUGGCGAAGGCGACUUUCUGGACUGUAACUGACGCUGAGGCACGAAAGCGUGGGUAGCAAACAGGAUUAGAUACCCUGGUAGUCCACGCCGUAAACGAUGAAUGCUAGGUGUUGGGGAGACUCAGUGCCGCAGUUAACACAAUAAGCAUUCCGCCUGGGGAGUACGGUCGCAAGACUGAAACUCAAAGGAAUUGACGGGGGCCCGCACAAGCAGCGGAGCAUGUGGUUUAAUUCGAAGCAACGCGAAGAACCUUACCUGGACUUGACAUCCCCUGAAUAACCUAGAGAUAGGCGAAGCCCUUCGGGGCAGGGAGACAGGUGGUGCAUGGUUGUCGUCAGCUCGUGUCGUGAGAUGUUAGGUUAAGUCCUGCAACGAGCGCAACCCUUAUUGUUAGUUGCUAACAUUCAGUUGAGCACUCUAACGAGACUGCCGCGGUUAACGCGGAGGAAGGUGGGGAUGACGUCAAAUCAUCAUGCCCCUUAUGUCCAGGGCAACACACGUGCUACAAUGGGCAGAACAAAGAGAAGCAAUACCGCGAGGUGGAGCCAAACUCAAAAACUGCUCUCAGUUCGGAUUGCAGGCUGAAACUCGCCUGCAUGAAGCUGGAGUUGCUAGUAAUCGCGAAUCAGCAUGUCGCGGUGAAUACGUUCCCGGGCCUUGUACACACCGCCCGUCACACCAUGAGAGCUGGCAACACCCGAAGUCCGUAGUCUAACGUAAGAGGACGCGGCCGAAGGUGGGGUUAGUGAUUGGGGUGAAGUCGUAACAAGGUAGCCGUAGGAGAACCUGCGGCUG
rnacentral:rRNA from 1 species